rnacentral:rRNA from 1 species
AGAGUUUGAUCCUGGCUCAGAUUGAACGCUGGCGGCAGGCCUAACACAUGCAAGUCGAACGGUAACAUUUCUAGCUUGCUAGAAGAUGACGAGUGGCGGACGGGUGAGUAAUGCUUGGGAACUUGCCUUUGCGAGGGGGAUAACAGUUGGAAACGACUGCUAAUACCGCAUAAUGUCUUCGGACCAAACGGGGCUUAGGCUCCGGCGCAAAGAGAGGCCCAAGUGAGAUUAGCUAGUUGGUAAGGUAAAGGCUUACCAAGGCAACGAUCUCUAGCUGUUCUGAGAGGAAGAUCAGCCACACUGGGACUGAGACACGGCCCAGACUCCUACGGGAGGCAGCAGUGGGGAAUAUUGCACAAUGGGGGAAACCCUGAUGCAGCCAUGCCGCGUGUGUGAAGAAGGCCUUCGGGUUGUAAAGCACUUUCAGUUGUGAGGAAAAGUUAGUAGUUAAUACCUGCUAGCCGUGACGUUAACAACAGAAGAAGCACUGGCUAACUCCGUGCCAGCAGCCGCGGUAAUACGGAGGGUGCGAGCGUUAAUCGGAAUUACUGGGCGUAAAGCGCACGCAGGCGGUUUGUUAAGCUAGAUGUGAAAGCCCCGGGCUCAACCUGGGAUGGUCAUUUAGAACUGGCAGACUAGAGUCUUGGAGAGGGGAGUGGAAUUCCAGGUGUAGCGGUGAAAUGCGUAGAUAUCUGGAGGAACAUCAGUGGCGAAGGCGACUCCCUGGCCAAAGACUGACGCUCAUGUGCGAAAGUGUGGGUAGCGAACAGGAUUAGAUACCCUGGUAGUCCACACCGUAAACGCUGUCUACUAGCUGUUUGUGACUUUAAGUCGUGAGUAGCGAAGCUAACGCGCUAAGUAGACCGCCUGGGGAGUACGGCCGCAAGGUUAAAACUCAAAUGAAUUGACGGGGGCCCGCACAAGCGGUGGAGCAUGUGGUUUAAUUCGAUGCAACGCGAAGAACCUUACCUACACUUGACAUACAGAGAACUUACCAGAGAUGGUUUGGUGCCUUCGGGAACUCUGAUACAGGUGCUGCAUGGCUGUCGUCAGCUCGUG